rnacentral:rRNA from 1 species
CACGUAGGGCGCAAGCGUUGUCCGGAAUUAUUGGGCGUAAAGAGCUCGUAGGCGGCCUGUCACGUCUGCUGUGAAAAGCUGGGGCUUAACCCUGGCCUUGCAGUGGAUACGGGCAGACUAGAGGUAGGUAGGGGAGAAUGGAAUUCCCGGUGUAGCGGUGAAAUGCGCAGAUAUCGGGAAGAACACCGGUGGCGAAGGCGGUUCUCUGGGCCUUACCUGACGCUGAGGAGCGAAAGCGUGGGGAGCGAACAGG